AACGCACGAGACCUGCGGACCUGCGGAGGGAUCAUUAAUGAGAAGCUGCCCCUCGUGGGUAGACCUCCCACCCUCUGUGAACUUACCUUUGUUGCUUUGGCAGGCCCGUCCUCUGGACCGCCGGCUUCGGCUGGCCCGCGCCUGCCAGAGGAUUCCAAACCCUGUCUGUCAGUGUUGUCUGAGUCUAUAUGAAAUCGUUAAAACUUUCAACAAUGGAUCUCUAGAUCGGAAGAGCACACG
rnacentral:misc_RNA from 1 species